GAUGAAGAACGUAGCGAAAUGCGAUAAGUAAUGUGAAUUGCAGAAUUCAGUGAAUCAUCGAGUCUUUGAACGCACAUUGCGCCCCCUGGUAUUCCGGGGGGCAUGCCUGUCCGAGCGUCAUUGCCGCCCUCAAGCACGGCUUGUGUGUUGGGCCCCCGCCCCCCGGCUUCGGGGGGCGGGCCCGAAAGGCAGCGGCGGCACCGCGUCCGGUCCUCGAGUGUAUGGGGCUUCGUCACCCGCUCUGUAGGCCCGGCCGGCGCCCGCCGGCGACCCCAAUCAAUCUUUCCAGGUUGACCUCGGAUCAGGUAGGGAUACCCGCUGAACUUAAGCAUAUCAAUAAGCGGAGGA
rnacentral:misc_RNA from 1 species